CCUUCUUUCACUAACUCAUCAGAGCUGGAGGGACAGAAACAGAGACACACACAUGUUGCACCUGAUGGGAAUUAUCGUCGGCCUCCUCUUCAUCAUCAUGUGUUUUUCAAAAGGACUCAAAGAGGGAAAUAAAACUCUAAGAUCACCGCUCACAGAAUCAUCUGCCAACAAGAAGGAUCUGAGUGAGGAAGACGUUCAGUUGUUGGCUCGGAUCCUCUCG